GAUGAACGCUGGCGCCGUGCUUAACACAUGCAAGUCGAACGAUGAAGCCCAGCUUGCUGGGUGGAUUAGUGGCGAACGGGUGAGUAACACGUGAGUAACCUGCCCUUAACUCUGGGAUAAGCCUGGGAAACUGGGUCUAAUACCGGAUAGGAACGUCCACCGCAUGGUGGGUGUUGGAAAGAUUUAUCGGUUUUGGAUGGACUCGCGGCCUAUCAGCUUGUUGGUGAGGUAAUGGCUCACCAAGGCGACGACGGGUAGCCGGCCUGAGAGGGUGACCGGCCACACUGGGACUGAGACACGGCCCAGACUCCUACGGGAGGCAGCAGUGGGGAAUAUUGCACAAUGGGCGCAAGCCUGAUGCAGCGACGCCGCGUGAGGGAUGACGGCCUUCGGGUUGUAAACCUCUUUCAGUAGGGAAGAAGCGAAAGUGACGGUACCUGCAGAAGAAGCACCGGCUAACUACGUG
rnacentral:rRNA from 1 species